AUGUAAAGCAAUCUGUCUUUAAGUAGGGUUAAAUUACUCUUAAAAAAAAAAAAAAAGAAUCCUAGACAGUUUUCUCUUCAAGUCAAGCAUGUUGU
rnacentral:pre_miRNA from 1 species